AUUGAACGCUGGCGGCAGGCCCAACACAUGCAAGUCGAGCGGAUGAAGGGUGCUUGCUCCUGGAUUCAGCGGCGGACGGGUGAGUAAUGCCUAGGAAUCUGCCUGGUAGUGGGGGAUAACGUCCGGAAACGGGCGCUAAUACCGCAUACGUCCUGAGGGAGAAAGUGGGGAAUCUUCGGACCUCCCGCUAUUAGAUGAGUCUAGGUCGGAUUAGCUAGUUGGUGGGGUAAAGGCCUACCAAGGCGACGAUCCGUAACUGGUCUGAGAGGAUGAUCAGUCACACUGGAACUGAGACACGGUCCAGACUCCUACGGGAGGCAGCAGUGGGGAAUAUUGGACAAUGGGCGAAAGCCUGAUCCAGCCAUGCCGCGUGUGUGAAGAAGGUCUUCGGAUUGUAAAGCACUUUUAGUUGGGAGGAAAGGCAGUAAGUUAAUACCUUGCUGUUUUGACGUUACCAAAAGAAUAAGCACCGGCUAACUUCGUG
rnacentral:rRNA from 1 species